AAAAAAUUGUAUAUAAAAUAAAUACUAAAUAUAAUUGCAGAACACAUUGCAUUGCUACUCAAAAUUCCCAUAUAAAAAUGUAGAAUUUAUUUAUUUAGCAAAAACUUUUCCCUCUACCUCGUUCUUUUUUUUAUACCGUAAGUUAUCUCUUAUCAAUUUUCAAGCAAUCAAGUGACUACCACUUAAAGCUUUUAUAAGAAAAUUCAAAACUAGCAAAUUCAUUGUGAUGUCGACUUAUGUGUUAAAAAUAUUACUGUCACGAUGGUCGGAAAAUUAUGAUUGAAUAAAAAAAUCGCUGGUCAAAUGAACCCAUUUCGAGUCGAUUGAGGUCAUCCAGACGGCCUGUGACGAAGGUACUCGCGGACAUCCCAGUCGAAGCGUUCCACAAAUGUUACGAAGCAUGGGAAACGCGCUGGAAUCUUUGUAUAGCUGCCCACAGGGACUAAUUUUGAAGGGAAUGGCAGAGUUGUAGAAUAAUUUUGAAAUAUACGGUUUUAAUGAAAUCAGUCUCAUUACUUAACGCCAACAGGGCCAACGAUAAUAUUGAUGUUUCUUGGUAUCUUGCAGAAAAAAAAUCUAGAGAAUUUAUCUAAAUGAAGAAUAAAAUUCAAAAUGCUUUAAGCCCAAUAAAAGUGACACAUGGGCAAACUUAUCCGGUUCACCUGACAAUUGAUUUGGUAACGCCCUUGAAUAACUAUUACGUUUAUCUUCCAUAGUCUUAUCUAAAAUGUAUGGUCUUUCCCAAAACUUUAAACUUCGAAUGUGCGCCGGGCUUGGGUCCCGAAUUCAAUGGUAAGACGAAAACUGUCGCGAAGCAAUUGCAGCCAUGCGGGAAAACUACAGGGGGAAGAAGCCAGUGAGAGACACCUUUUCAAGCGGAGAAGACGAGAAUAGGAAAUGAGCGCGCGUGGUCAACCAUCGACCCAAGAUGCGCAGUGCACCCCGCCAUUUAGAAAUUGCGAAAUAAAAGUCGCAAAUAUGCUUAUAAAGAACAAAAACGCAGUCGGAGCUGACGGACUGCCUGUUAAGUUGUUCAAGGCUGGCAGAGGUGAGCUUAUAGGGUGCAUGUAUCAGCUUCUCUGCAAAAUAUGGCUAGCGGAAUGCAUGCUCGAUGAUUGCAAUCUCUGUAACCUUUGUCCUCUAUUGACGAUAUGCGCCAACUACCGGAAAAUCAGACUUAUUGCAAUUUUCUACAAGGUCCGGUAUAGCUUUUUGUGGGAAAGGCUAAAGCUGUUUGAAAACAUAUUGAUUGGACCAUAUCAGUGUAACUUUAGACUUGAUAAAUUAACUAUCGAACUGAAUUACAUAUGACGCCCAAUCCAAGCACCUACAAAAAACAGCUCGACCCAUCAUCACUUUUUCGAUUAUACCAUAUUCCAGUAAGCUAAUGUGUAGUUGAGUUCUCUUAUAUGGGGUUACGUUGCAAACGGAUGCAAACGCGUUUGGAGUGUUCGAGAGAAAAAUAUAUGUCGCAGAAUCUUCAGUUGAACAGCGAACUGUACGACUUUUACGAUGACGUCGAUAUUCUUAGGGUCAUCGAAAUACAACGUUUGCGCUGGCUGAUUUAAGCUCAAGCGAUGAAGAUUGGGGAGGAAAGGGACGAAUUAAGGGGAACACCUAGUGUGAAAUUUCAAAAAAAUCGAUCUGUUUCAUAUUUCGGUAGAAUACACAUUUAAAAAUAA